ACGCUCGACACCUACGGGAGGCGGCAGUGGGGAAUAUUGCACAAUGGGGGAAACCCUGAUGCAGCGACGCCGCGUGAGCGAAGAAGUAUUUCGGUAUGUAAAGCUCUAUCAGCAGGGAAGAAGAAAGACGGUACCUGACUAAGAACGCCCCGGCUAACUACGUGCUAGCAGCCGCGGUAAUCUGGAGCGGGCUGGCAAGGC
rnacentral:rRNA from 1 species